UCAUGAAGUUUGAAGAGAUCACCACAUUGCAUAUAUAUGUAAUUAUUACAAGAGUACUUGUGAUUAAUGGUUCAAAAUCUUGAACGUUUGUAUAAUAACACAAUUGUAUAACAGCUGUGGAUGUCCAAGGAAUUAGCUGACCGAAUUACUUUGAAAACCUCAAAUGCUAAUUGUUUAAUGCUAAACGUUAAUUACUUGUUAAAAUGAAAUACAAACUGCAUUUUAAAACAUGAAGCUAAUUGUUCACUGGUGAUCUCCACGUUUUAGGUUGACGUUCUGCUACAACCAGGCAAUGAAGCCACAUACAGUUCUCUUGCUGUACCUGGGAACACUGGUUCUCCCCAUUUCUGAAGGCAAUGAGCUUCCCGAGAACAAAUUCCGUGAGCGCCGGUUCUUGUUUGGAAACAUUUUUGGUGGGGAUAACGACCCUUCUCGUGUGACAGAUAAGGUCCCAGUUUUAGAUGACUCUUCUCUGAUAGACUCAGAAUCCUUUUGUCAAGGUGGUUGUCGUGAUGGCUGGAUCAGUUAUAAGGGCCAAUGCUACAUGUAUGUUCUGGAUCAGAUGACAUGGGAAGAAGCUGAGAGGAGUUGCCAAAGCUAUGCAAUAGGAGGACACUUGACUAGCAUCUCAAGUGCAGAACAUAAUGACUUUCUUGUGAACCUAGCCACACAUCAUGGAGAAAGGACGGCCCAAUUCUGGACAGGUGGAAGCCACCGAAGGGGGUCAUCUCUAAGAUGGACGGAUGGCUCUGUGGCAAAUUUCAUUCAGCGUCCACUGAGCUCACUUCUUCACGUUGUUGGAGAAACUAUUAACAGUAUUCUGAACAUUCGCAUUUGCUUGAAGUUAAAUCUAAGCCUAGGAGGCCAGGGUAACUGGGAUGGCUCUGACUGUAGAAAGAAGCUACCCUUUGUCUGCAGCUACAAGCCUGAUCUGACACCCCCCUAACCUACUGGAGGAAGAUAAUCAGUUACACUUAAUCAGUCAUGUAGUUAAUUUACAAAUUAUUCAUUUAUUUUCUAUGCACAUGUAUACAUUCUUAUUUUCAAAAUGCCAAAGUGUCAUUCAUUAAUGGAAGAAAAGAAUUGACACAAGCCAUUAUUUAGAGCACCACAGAACUUGUACUACUUAAAUAAAGCCUUAUUUGUCUCAAGUGCUUAACGAGAU
rnacentral:lncRNA from 1 species